rnacentral:rRNA from 1 species
UACGUAGGGUGCGAGCGUUAAUCGGAAUUACUGGGCGUAAAGCGUGCGUAGGCGGUUCGCUGUGUCCGAUGUGAAAGCCCCGGGCUUAACCUGGGAAUGGCAUUGGAAACUGGCGGGCUUGAGUGCGGCAGAGGGGGGUGGAAUUCCGCGUGUAGCAGUGAAAUGCGCAGAUAUCAGGAGGAACACCGAUGGCGAAGGCAGGUCUCUGGGCCAUAACUGACGCUGAGAAGCGAAAGCAUGGGGAGCAAACAGG